AUGCUUAACCUGGCAGAGGAGAUACCAUGACCACAAAGGUGAUUUUCCCAUGGCAAGGCUUAUGCAUUGCACUUCAGAUAUGCUGACCCCUGUGAUUUCCCCAAAUGUGGGAAACUUGACUGCAUAAUUUGUGGUAGUGGGGUACUGCAUUCAUACUCUCCCUUG